GGAUAACAGGCUGAUAGCGCCCAAGCGUCCACAGCGACGGCGCUGUUUGGCACCUCGAUGUCGGCUCAUCUCAUCCUGGGGCUGGAGCAGGUCCCAAGGGUACGGCUGUUCGCCGUUUAAAGAGGUACGUGAGCUGGGUUUAGAACGUCGUGAGACAGUUCGGUCCCUAUCUGCCGUGGACGUUUGAGAUUUGAGAGGGGCUGCUCCUAGUACGAGAGGACCGGAGUGGACG
rnacentral:rRNA from 13 species